AAGGGCCAAGUUUGCGCUCCUCCCGGAAUCGUUUGAGAGAAGGACAAACUUUUGAGAGGAUGGAAAUCUAGAGGAGCCGGUCUGCAGUAGACAAUUCUUCCCCACUCCCAGCCAUCUGCAAGCCACAGUCAGCCUGUCCCUGCUCCCGAAAAUGGAAUUGCUGAUGCCCUCAAGGCUGUUACUCUCCCAGGGUGAGUGAGAGUGAGGUCAAUGACGCCAGGUCGGAGCCUCAAACUCUUAAAUAAGCAAAGCAUAUUUCCCUAUUCCUGAUGCAUUUAGGGGUCAUCUAUCCCUUGGAAUGGAGAGGCUGGCGAUUCUGGCUGGUGGCUAUCUUUCCACAGAACACCCCUGAUUAGCCAGGCCCACCGCCAUCCACAUCUGCUUGGCAAAGAAGGAAGGUAGCUUGUUCCAGACCUUGGUGAGCGGCUGCAGACUGCCUGCCUAGAACAGCCUCCUGACUCCAGCCUGGCAGGGAAGGAAGGAACCUGACUUGCUUUGCAGGAUCUGGAAUCUCAGCGCGUGGAGCUGAGAGCCGCAGUUGCAUCCUGGAGCCUGAUGCUAGAAGCAGCUUCUGUCUCUGGGUUCUUGCUGCCAUGGCCUCUGCUCUGUUCAGUUUGCUGUUGUGUUUUUCUCCCCCAUGUUGGGGUGGUGGGGUACAGGGAAAUAAAAUGUUUUCUCCCAGGCCCUUAAUCCUUCCCCAUGCCUCCAUCAGCCUCAGAGCUGCUGACAGUCAUGAACUGCAGCUUCCAGCUCUGCCCAUAAGCUACUCAAAGCAAAUUCAAAUUCUUUUCUGGCCAGGAGGAAGGGCAGAGGCUCCCUCCUUCCUCAAGCCUCCGUGGCUCAUUGAUCCAUUUUGAGGGCAUUUGGGGGUCAAAAUUGAAACCAGAUUGCUUCGGUUUGUAUAAAAUUAGCAUUUCUUAUCACACCAAAGGCCACACCUGUUCUCUGCCCUCACAAACCAGUGAGGAUGUAAAGGUUUGUUGAGGUGGAGGAACAGAAGUGAAAUGAACAAUCUGCUCCAUUUAGAAGUCAGUCGCUUUGGCUGUUCAUUCCACUAAUAUUUAUCUAGUACCUACUCUGUGCCAAGCAUUGCCUCUACCUCAGUUUGCCACAAAUAUGAAAAAAAAAUUUUUGCAACGGUGAGACUUCAGUGUGUUGUGGACCAAUAUACAAAUAAAACAAUGGAAAAGAAA